GCCCCGUUCGUCUAGCGGCCUAGGACAUCGCCCUCUCACGGCGGUAACACCGGUUCAAAUCCGGUACGGGGUAC
rnacentral:tRNA from 1 species